UACGUAGGGUGCAAGCGUUGUCCGGAAUCAUUGGGCGUAAAGCGCGCGUAGGUGGCUUUGUAAGUCCGUUGUGAAAGUCAAAGGCUCAACCUUUGAAUGCCGAUGGAUACUGCGGAGCUAGAGUACGGAAGAGGCGAGUGGAAUUCCUGGUGUAGCGGUGGAAUGCGCAGAUAUCAGGAAGAACACCAACGGCGAAGGCAGCUCGCUGGGACGGAACUGACGCUGAGGCGCGAAAGCGUGGGGAGCGAACAGG
rnacentral:rRNA from 1 species